ACCCUUUAAUGUUUGAUGUUCUAACGUGGACCCGUAAUCCGGGUUGCGGACAGUGUCUGGUGGGUAGUUUGACUGGGGCGGUCUCCUCCUAAAGAGUAACGGAGGAGCACGAAGGUUGGCUAAUCCUGGUCGGACAUCAGGAGGUUAGUGCAAUGGCAUAAGCCAGCUUGACUGCGAGCGUGACGGCGCGAGCAGGUGCGAAAGCAGGUCAUAGUGAUCCGGUGGUUCUGAAUGGAAGGGCCAUCGCUCAACGGAUAAAAGGUACUCCGGGGAUAACAGGCUGAUACCGCCCAAGAGUUCAUAUCGACGGCGGUGUUUGGCACCUCGAUGUCGGCUCAUCACAUCCUGGGGCUGAAGUAGGUCCCAAGGGUAUGGCUGUUCGCCAUUUAAAGUGGUACGCGAGCUGGGUUUAGAACGUCGUGAGACAGUUCGGUCCCUAUCUGCCGUGGGCGCUGGAGAACUGAGGGGGGCUGCUCCUAGUACGAGAGGACCGGAGUGGACGCAUCACUGGUGUUCGGGUUGUCAUGCCAAUGGCACUGCCCGGUAGCUAAAUGCGGAAGAGAUAAGUGCUGAAAGCAUCUAAGCACGAAACUUGCCCCGAGAUGAGUUCUCCCUGAGACUUAAAGUCUCCUGAAGGAACGUUGAAGACGACGACGUUGAUAGGCCGGGUGUGUAAGCGCAGCGAUGCGUUGAGCUAACCGGUACUAAUGAACCGUGAGGCUUAACCUUAC
rnacentral:rRNA from 1 species